GAAAGCAAACCAAUAUGUAGACUUAUGGUGAUAAGUGUCUCAUUUAUCACCAUAAGUCUACACAUUGGUUUGCUUUCUUCUCUU